GUCAACUACCCCCACCUAAGAGGUGAAGGCUUGGCCUUAGUUGAUUAGCCUAAGUAUUAAGUUACUACGUUAUUUUAGAAUAUAUAGUUACCCUAGAAUGCUCCACAAGUUCUAGGCUC
rnacentral:sRNA from 1 species